UGUCCAGUAGCACCUUAGAGACCAACUAAGUUUGUUCUCGGUAUGAGCUUUCGUGUGCAUGCACACUUCUUCAGAUACCAAACAAAAGCUCAUACCAAGAACAAACUUAGUUGGUCUCUAAGGUGCUACUGGACU
rnacentral:miRNA from 1 species